UCCACUCCUCUUGUUGCAUUUAGGUUCAGUCUCGUCUGGUCUCCGAGUUCCUAACACUUUUGUGCUUUUGUCCUUUCACUGUUUCGUUUUAGUUUGAUUCAGUUGUUGUUUUAUUAUUUUAUUUCAUUACUGAGAAUAACAAACAAACAACAACAACAACAAAACAAAGUUUAAUGAAUCUGAAAAUACAGAAUCUAUGAUCAGUACCUCAUUUAACCUGAAAUCUGUUGAUUCCACUGUUUGGACCUUCUAGGUUAUGAACUGUUACUUUCUGAAACGUCUUCUGCUCCAAACACACAGUGAGAGUCUAAAUGGUUUCAACUAACUCUUUGUUUUUUACUGUUUCAUCUUUGAUUCUUUAUUCAGAUUUAAACGCUGCAAUUUGUCAGAGAUCAGCUGUGAUUCUCUGGUCUCAGCUCUAAAGUCCAACCCGUCACAUCUGACACAACUGGACCUGAGUGACAACAACCUGCAGGAUUCAUCAGUGAAGCGUCUUCGUGACCUGGUGCAGAGUCCAGACUAUCGACUGCAGACUCUGAAGUCAUUAGAGGUGGAGAUGAGAUGUAGAAGCAGCAGCAGUGUGUAGAGGUUCUGACUAGUCCAUGUUACUGGGAGCCGAGCUUCAUCCACAACAGACUGAAACAGGAACCAGAACAAUUGGAGAAAUUGAGUUAUUUGAUGCAGUAGUUAGAUAUUGGGGACAGUGUUGAUUGUAAUUCUUCUUCAGGCUCCUCUAUAGAUUAGUGACUGAGGACUUACUGUACUACCAGCUGGAGCUAUGUUGUUUUCUAACCAUUCUGGGCUCAAAGAGCUACAGUACAGAACAACUAAUGGCUUUAGCUUCUACAAAUGUUUCUUGUGUUUUAUAAGAGAUUUUUAUUGUUCACAUGUUUUUUGUCCAAAUUAAAGACCAGGAACCAAGGGUAA